AUUGAACGCUUGCGGCAGGCCUAACACAUGCAAGUCGAACGGUAGCACAGAGAGCUUGCUCUCGGGUGACGAGUGGCGGACGGGUGAGUAACGUCUGGGAAACUGCCCGAUGGAGGGGGAUAACUACUGGAAACGGUAGCUAAUACCGCAUAACGUCGCAAGACCAAAGUGGGGGACCUUCGGGCCUCACACCAUCGGAUGUGCCCAGAUGGGAUUAGCUAGUAGGUGGGGUAAUGGCUCACCUAGGCGACGAUCGCUAGUUGGUCUGAGAGGAUGGCCAGCCACACUGGAACUGAGACACGGUCCGGGCGCCUACGGGGGGCAGCAGUGGAGAAUAUUGCACAAUGGGCGCAAGCCUGAUGCAGCCAUGCCGCGUGUAUGAAGAAGGCCUUCGGGUUGUAAAGUACUUUCAGCGGGGAGGAAGGCGGUGAAGUUAAUAGCUUCACCGAUUGACGUUACCCGCAGAAGAAGCACCGGCUAACUCCGUGCCAGCCGCCGCCGUAA
rnacentral:rRNA from 1 species